rnacentral:rRNA from 1 species
ACUCCUACGGGAGGCAGCAGUGGGAAUCUUGGACAAUGGGGAACCGUAGAUCUAGCCAUGCCGCGUGAGUGACGAAGGCCCUAGGGUCGUAAAGCUCUUUCGCUGGGGAAGAUAAUGACUGUACCCAGUAAAGAAACCCCGCGUACAUCCGUGCCAGCAGCCGCGGUAAUACGGAGGGGGUUAGCGUUGUUCGGAAUUACUGGGCGUAAAGCGCGCGUAGCGGACUAUUAAGUCAGA